rnacentral:rRNA from 1 species
GAUGAACGCUGGCGGAAUGCCUAACACAUGCAAGUCGAGCGAACAGACGUGGUUCUUGCACCGUUGACGUGAGCGGCGGACGGGUGAGUAAUAAGGGGCUAACCUACCUAUAAGACUGAGCUAACUUCGGGAGACCGGAGCUCAUACCGGAUAAAUUUUCGAACCGAGUGUUUCGAUAGUGAAAGAUGCCUUUGCUAUCACUUAUAGACGGAUCUGGACCUGAUUAGCUAGUUGGUAAGGUAACGGCUUACCAAGGCAACGAUACGUAGCCGACAAGGGAGAGUGAUGUAGCACGCUGGAGCGGGGACACGGUCCAGAGGCCUACGGGAGGCAGCAGUAGCGACUCUGGCGGGAUGGAGGGGAGCCUGUCGGAGCAACGCCGCGUGAGUGAUGCAGGUCUUCUGUGCGUAAGAAGCUGUUAUUAGGGAAGAAAAAAGGUUUAAGUAACUGAGCACGUAGUGACGGUACCUACUGAGAAAGCCACGGCUAACUACGUG